UACAGAGGUCCCGAGCGUUGUUCGGAUUCAUUGGGCAUAAAGGGUGCGUAGGCGGCGGGGUAAGUUUGAUGUGAAAUCCCGGGGCUCAACCCUGGAAUUGCAUUGUAUACUACCUUGCUAGAGUACCGGAGAGGAAACUGGAAUUUACGGUGUAGCAGUGAAAUGCGUAGAGAUCGUAAGGAAGACCAGUGGCGAAGGCGAGUUUCUGGACGGUAACUGACGCUGAGGCACGAAGGCCAGGGGAGCAAACGGG
rnacentral:rRNA from 1 species